UACGUAGGCAGCAAGCGUUGUUCGGAGUUACUGGGCGUAAAGAGUGCGUAGGUGGUGCCCUAAGUCUGUUGUGAAAUCUCCCGGCUUAACUGGGAGGGUGCGGUGGAAACUGGGGUGCUUGAGUGUGGGAGAGGCGCGUGGAAUUGCAGGUGUAGCGGUGAAAUGCGUAGAUAUCUGCAGGAACACCCGUGGCGAAAGCGGCGCGCUGGACCACUACUGACGCUGAGGAACGAAAGCUAGGGGAGCAAACAGG
rnacentral:rRNA from 1 species